rnacentral:rRNA from 1 species
AACGAACGCUGGCGGCGUGGAUUAGGCAUGCAAGUCGAGCGAGAAAGGGGCCUUCGGGCCCUGAGUAAAGCGGCGAACUGGUGAGUAACAGGUGGGUAACGUGCCCUAAAGUUGGGGAUAACUCCGAGAAAUCGGUGCUAAUACCGAAUGUGGCUGUUUGAGUUUCGGCUCGAGCAGUUAAAGGCUUCGGUCGCUUUGGGAUCGGCCCGCCCUCGAUUAGCUAGUUGGUGAGGUAACGGCUCACCAAGGCUUCGAUCGAUAGCUGGUCUGAGAGGAUGGUCAGCCACACUGGAACUGAGAUACGGUCCAGACUCCUACGGGGGCG